UACGGGGGGGGCAAGCGUUGUUCGGAAUUACUGGGCGUAAAGGGCUCGUAGGUGGCCAACUAAGUCGGACGUGAAAUCCCUCAGCUUAACUGGGGAACUGCGUCCGAUACUGGAUGGCUCGAGUUUGGGAGAGGGAUGCGGAAUUCCAGGUGUAGCGGUGAAAUGCGUAGAUAUCUGGAGGAACACCGGUGGCGAAGGCGGCAUCCUGGACCAACACUGACACUGAGGAGCGAAAGCCAGGGGAGCAAACAGG
rnacentral:rRNA from 1 species